ACGACCGUAGCUCAGUUGAAGAGAGCGCCGGGGUACCAAUCUGGAGGUCGCAGGUUUGAAUCCCGCCGGCCGCC
rnacentral:tRNA from 1 species